rnacentral:rRNA from 1 species
CAGCCGCCGCGGGAAUACGUAGGUGGCAAGCGUUGUCCGGAAUUAUUGGGCGUAAAGCGCGCGCAGGCGGAUCAGUCAGUCUGUCUUAAAAGUUCGGGGCUUAACCCCGUGAUGGGAUGGAAACUGCUGAUCUAGAGUAUCGGAGAGGAAAGUGGAAUUCCUAGUGUAGCGGUGAAAUGCGUAGAUAUUAGGAAGAACACCAGUGGCGAAGGCGACUUUCUGGACGAAAACUGACGCUGAGGCGCGAAAGCCAGGGGAGCGAACGGGAUUAGAUACCCCCGUAGUCCCUGUCUCUUAUACA